GCAGGACUAACAGAGAGGAGAAAAGAAAGAACAGGAAGGCAGAGGGAGACACUGCCAGCCGCUGCCAUGACAAACAGCAAGUGAAGAUGACGGUAAGCCAUGCCACCAGCCACAUGGCAUGGUAUAGAUUUAUAGAAAUGGAUUAAUUUAAGAUAUAAGAACAGUUAACAAGAAGCCU